UUAUGGCUCAGGAUGAACGCUAGCGGCAGGCUUAACACAUGCAAGUCGAGGGGCAUCGGGAGUAGCAAUACUUGGCCGGCGACCGGCGCAAGGGUGCGUAACGCGUGAGCAACAUGCCCGUAUCAGGGGGAUAAUCCAUGGAAACGUGGUCUAAUACCCCAUAGUAAUUAUGUAAGGCAUCUUAUAUAAUUUUAAAGCUUUGGUGGAUACGGAUUGGCUCGCGUGACAUUAGCUGGAUGGUAAGGUAACGGCUUACCAUGGCUACGAUGUCUAGGGGUUCUGAGAGGAAGGUCCCCCCACACUGGAACUGAGACACGGUCCAGACUCCUACGGGAGGCAGCAGUGAGGAAUAUUGGACAAUGGAUGGAAAUCUGAUCCAGCCAUGCCGCGUGCAGGAAAGACGGCCCUAUGGGUUGUAAACUGCUUUUGUAUGGGGGCAAUAAGGGCUACGUGUAGUCCGAUGAGAGUACCAUACGAAUAAGCACCGGCUAACUCCGUGCCAGCAGCUGC
rnacentral:rRNA from 1 species